AGUUUGAUCAUGGCUCAGGAUGAACGCUAGCGGCAGGCUUAAUACAUGCAAGUCGAGGGGCAGCAUGUCCCGUAGCAAUACGGGAUGAUGGCGACCGGCAAACGGGUGCGGAACACGUACACAACCUUCCUUUAAGUGGGGAAUAGCCCAGAGAAAUUUGGAUUAAUACCCCGUAACAUUAUGAUGUGGCAUCACAUUAUAAUUAUAGCUCCGGCGCUUAAUGAUGGGUGUGCGGCUGAUUAGGUAGUUGGCGGGGUAAUGGCCCACCAAGCCUACGAUCAGUAACUGGUGUGAGAGCACGACCAGUCACACGGGCACUGAGACACGGGCCCGACUCCUACGGGAGGCAGCAGUAAGGAAUAUUGGGCAAUGGAGGCAACUCUGACCCAGCCAUGCCGCGUGGAGGAUGAAGGUCCUCUGGAUUGUAAACUUCUUUUAUAUGGGACGAAAAAGGGCCUUUCCAGGUCAACUGACGGUACCAUAUGAAUAAGCACCGGCUAACUCCGUGCCAGCAGCCGCGGUAAUACGGAGGGUGCAAGCGUUAUCCGGAUUCACUGGGUUUAAAGGGUGCGUAGGUGGGGUGGUAAGUCAGUGGUGAAAUCUCCGAGCUUAACUUGGAAACUGCCAUUGAUACUAUCAUUCUUGAAUAUUGUGG
rnacentral:rRNA from 1 species